rnacentral:rRNA from 1 species
UGGUGGAGUGAUUUGUCUGGUUAAUUCCGUUAACGAGCGAGACCAAAACUUACUAAAUAAAGACGUUAACCGUCUGAUAUGCCGUGAACGUGAGCUGGCGGUGUGGCUCAACGGCCGCGUCUCGGCUCGUGGAAUCGGUUGAUGCGUUGACGCGCUUUUCUUAGAAGGACUGGCGGCUUCAAGCCGCAGGAAGUCUUUGGCAAUAACA